UCCAAAACCAGAGCUCUAUCCACUGCGCCACCUAGCUGCCCCACUCUAAGAUCUUUUCAAUGCCACUUUCUCCAGGCAGAGAGGAUUAGAAGGACACAGAAAUCUCCUUGCUGACUAGAGAUAAUCACCAAGAUCCCUUUUGGUCCCGUGAGUCUGUGAUCCAGAGCAGAAAUAGCUGUUAAAUAGAGCCUGGACACAGUUUGUGGAUUCUCUCUCCUUUGGAAGAACUGGUCUGACUUCAGCGACAGUAAGGCUGGUCAAUGCAGACAUUUUAUUUAUGAAGAGAAGACCAUAGAAAAACAAGGAAGACCACUCAAGUCAGGACUUCCUCCCACCAGUGAGAUGUAGUAUAAUCUUCAAGCAGUAUCUCUCUCUCUGCUGGCCUCAUGAUUUUCCGCUUGGCCCCUAGUUAGGCACACUGUGCUUGGCCCUUAUUAGAGGCAGUCGAAUUGCCCUUUUCCCAGGGCUCUGACUUAGGAAAGUGAAGGCCUUUUUCAGCUAAGGCCUCUUUCCCAGAAUGGGCUUGGAACUGAGAACUGAUGAUUAAAACGAACAUUUGUGAAAGAAAACAGCUCUGUGCAGGAAUCUCUUUGCCUGCCUUUAAAGGUUAACACAAACUCUAGAACAAUGUGGGAAGACCUACAAUCAGAAGGGAAAAUUAGUGACAAAACCUGAAGGAAUGUUACAUAACUCUCUCCAGUGGACCAGUACUUAAACGGUCAACAUUUCUCCCUCCCUCUCCCUGAAAAAAACCCAAGAGCCCUUGAAACUCACCCUCAACCUGUCUAUUGUACCUAGAGCAUUUUAUUUUAUUCCCACAUAUUAUGUUUAAGAUGACAGAUUUAGAGCAGGAAAGGGCUUCUGAGGUGAUUUAAUACAACCCCUUAAUUUUACAGAUGAGAAAAGUAAGAAUUUGAAUCCAGAUUCUCUGGAUUCCAAAUUUUAUAUUCUUUCCACUGUCCCAUACUAAUUGUUCACAACCAACUGGCAUGAUAAAAGCUUUAGAGCUGGAAGGGAGCUUUGGAAGUCACUUAGUCCAACCUUCUCUUUUUACAGAUGAGGAAAUUGAGGCCCAGCGGGGAAAAAGGGAGGUGGCAUAGUAGAUAGACUGCUGGCCUUGGAGUCAACACUGACUGCAUUCAAACCCUUCCACAGACAGGCUAUAGCUGUGCGACCCUGGGCAACUCACUUGCCUCAGUUUGCUUCAGUUUCCUCAUCUGUAAAAUGGAGACAACAACA